CGCUCUUGAAGAAUCCUGAUAUCAUGAAGAGAGCUCAAGAAGAAGUAAGAAGAGUUGUUGGGUAUAAAUUAAAAGUGGAUGAAAAUGAUUUAAAUCAAAUGAAUUAUCUGAAAUGUGUAGUAAAAGAAACUCUGAGAUUAUAUCCACCUAUUCCUCUUUUGACACCCUGAGAAACUUCAUCUGAUGUAAAAGUGAAAGGUUUUGAUAUUCCAUCCAAAACAAGAGUGUAUGUGAAUGCAUGGGCGAUUCAGAGGGACCCUGAAAUUUGGAACAAGCCUGAAGAGUUCCUUCCCGAGAGAUUUGAAGAUCAGCCAGAAGUAGAUUUUAAAGGAAAAGAUUUGCAGUUUAUUCCCUUUGGUUUUGGGAGAAGAGGAUGUAUUGGAAUUUCAUUUGCACUUGCUUCCACUGAGUAUAUGCUUGCUAAUCUCCUCUACUGGUUUGAUUGGAAGAUUCCUGAGACUGGUAAACCAAUGCAAGAUAUAGACAUGAGUGAGAUAUGGGGACUCACUGUCAUCAAGAAAGUACCACUUCAUCUUCAACCUGAACUACACUCAUUUGGAUAUGAACCUUGACAUCAAUAAUGUGGAUUUAUUUGUAUCUUGGAUUAAUGGUAUAUUUUACUUUGUUUCCUUUUCUCUUGUCGUUAUAAAUUGUUUUUCCCCUUUUUUUGGAGUAAUGUAGUUUGGCAAAGAAGAAAAUAAACAAGUGUAGGGAUGAAAACACUAGUUUUUUUUAAAUACCCUAAAAUACCUUUUUUUAUGAAAACCCUAAAAUACUCAACAUAAAAUAAGUUGAAAUUAGAGCAUAAAGUAGACUUUAUUUUAUAUAAAGAAUUAGUGAAACGGGAUUACCUAAUGAUAUUCAUCCAUAAACCCUUCUGGUUGUUUAUUGCACUAAUAAAAAUAUUUAUUAACAAAAGAAAAUAGAAAAUUAAUUAAUGAAAAUUACAAAUAACCUUUUUUUGCAACCAUGUAAGUUUUUGGGAAUUUGCACUUGGUCAACCUCUUAAAAUGUUAUAUCUACUAUAUGACUUAAUUAAUAAAAAAAACAUAAGUUAGGAAAUAUUUAAGUAAUAAAAUGAUGUAAGUUGAUAAUUUAAUUACCAAUCGACUAUUUUCUUGAGAUACGCAGGUGGCAUCUUGUAUAAUUAACAAAACCACGUAGUAGUGUGAUCAUUUACGUAUAUCACAAGUAACUGCUAAUGACACUUGCAUUGAAAAAAUCAUUAGUAUAAGUACAAUUGAUGAAGUGCUAAUAAUUGACUACUUAAAAGUUAUACCUACUCAUAUUGUUUUUUUCUUUAAGGACUAGGUUUUGGACUCUAUUGAUGCAAAAUAAACUUCAUUUUCAAUAAAUUAAAUGUACAAAUGUAUUCAUACAUAAAUAAAAAUUAAUAAUUACAAUUUAUUUUCUUGCCAAAAGUUUUGGAAUACAUCUAACGAGGUGUCUAGAUCGGGCUGUGAAUCCUUGAAAUGUUUGUGCCAUAAUAAAUACCUCAUAUGUGGGUACAGGAACUGCAACAUCAGCAAUGUGUACCUUCUCAAUGGUGACCUUCACCAUAUUAAGGGGGAGAGGAAUAUUAUGCAAAAAGUGACCGCUACAAAGACUUUCCCUAUGGCCACGAAUCGAGCAGUGAAAUCGUCCUCCGUAAAUAACUCACAAUAGCUUAUCUCGCCAAUGUCAUCCCCUGAUGGAUUAUCAGUUGCAUAACUCCCCUUUGUGUUAUAUCUACCUAUGGAAGACACAAAGGUCUGGUGUGCUGGAACAAUUUGUUGGGACAAACCUAAGCUCUUGAGGUGUUGCUCAAACUCUUGGCUCAACUUUUGAGUAACCUAUUAUUUUAUCUUCUGCGUGAUAUAUUGCCUCAACUACAAUAUGACCUCUUUGCUAGAUGCCUCAGAGGAGUAUUGUCGUGAAGAAGUCCCAAAGAAAUGACAGAUGUCAAUCCCUAAUCCUAUAGUAUACACACAACGAAGGUGCUCAAGUUGUCCAAUUGCUAACAUCUUUAGGUAGUAUCCUACGAAUAGCUACCAACAAUAACUGUUACAUGACAAUCAUGAGAUUUUAACCCAAGUAGCUUCAAUUAAUGUUUGAGACUAUAGGCUCUUAACAUUUGAUGAAUGUACUUGUGGCACCUUAAGACCCUUUAGGAUUUGGCAUAAACUUAUUGAUAGCUUGCAUUUUCUCGAAUUGAUUUGUUUCUUCAAGUGUUUGGAUGGAAUUGGCAGAAGCAAUGAAUAAUUGGAGUCAUGGAAGAACUCAAGGAGUUUUAGGAACCUUGGAGUAGCUGUGAGAUGUAUGGAAAGUGAUAGGUGAUGCCUAAUCACUUGGAGAAAUGUGAGAGAUCAAACAAAGUAUCUAUCCUAGAGAGAGGACACAAAAAGAGAGUUUGACUAUAAUUUGGCAGCAUAAAUACCAAGCCUUGUACCUUUAUAGGUGAGGAGGUUGGUCAAUUACAAGAGAAAAUUAGGGUAAAUUUGAAUUCAAACUAGGUGUCAAAAGCUAGUCAUACUUGUCAUGUGAGGGCAAUGGUUUCCAUGUGACUUGUUUCUAGAUCCUAGGGUUUUAUAUGACCAACCUAGGUAGGUUUAGAAACCCUAACAUAACCCUAAUCUACUUUAGGACUAAAACAUAUGCUACUUGGCCCAAUUGUAGGCCUAAUUAUUUUACAAGAAAGAGAAAUCAUAUUCUACUUCGUACAACUAGGUUAUGACCUUAAAAUUAUGUGAGAGAGUCUCUGCUGAGUCCUACUUUUCAUGUCAUUGCCCCAAUAGUAGUUUGUGGCUGGACGGUUGUCAUCAUCCCCUCCCUCUUAAAAGAAUCUGUUCUUACAUCUACAAGUUUGGUUCCGAACAAUAGCCUUAUUCUUGUCUAAAACUAUGUUCUUGACAAUCUAUUGUAGUCUUCAAACAAUUCAAAAUGAAUUUUUCUCAUAAAUUCCAUAAAAAGUAGAUUUAUGCACAAAUUGUGGAAAAUAAUCAUGACUUUUAAAAUCCAUGUACCUUUUUUGAACAAGUUUAUUUGUUUGUUUUUCAAUUUCGUUUGGUUUGGUUGCCUUCUAUAUAUUUUUUAAAAUUUUCUAGCAACUCAUCACAUGAUUUAAUCAAAGAGGAAUACAUAGUUUUCUUUUCCAUUUCUUUUUAUUUCCUCUCUUCUUUCUCAAAAUCUUGCCAACUAGACUCUUUAGAAUUACAACUUUCUCCUAAGAGAACUAGUGUUUGCUUAUUAUUUAUUUUUUGUUUUAAUUUUAUUUGGUCCCCCAACUCUUGGGAAGGUGUAAAAGGAUGAAAAUGUACUUUCUUUCUUUAUUGGUGAAUGUAAUCUUGUUGGUACAUCCAUUAUUCAUGGAUUUCUUAUCAAAUUGCCACAGUCAUCCCAAUAAGACACGACAAGCUUCCAUGGACACACCAUUACAUAAAAUUUUAUCUUGAUACUUGCUCACAAAUAAAUCGACCUUCACUUGUUGUUUAACUGACAAUUCUCCAUCAUCACUAAAGUUUAUAAGGUUUGGAAUGAUAGGGAGUUGUAACUUCUCAGCUAGCCUAGUACUGUAAUAGUUACAACACAACUCAUUAUCAACAAUGAGAGAACAAGUUUUGUCAAAAAAUUUACAUCUUGUAUGAACAACCUUUUUUCUCACUUAUUUCUCUCUUAGAUGCAACAAUCUCACUAGUUUCUUCAUCUUGGCUGCUAUACUCAUAUGUACCCCUUAAGAUCAUGAUUCUUUUGUUGGGUGACACAGCAAGUGUAUCGUAUCAAAAGUAAUAAAUUUGUUCCUAAGAAAGGAUAUCGAACCUCCAAGGAAUAGUUGAAUUUUCAACUAUAAUAUUCACUAAAUAAAAAACAAUAUAAUAAAGUUUGUUGUGUAUGAUUGCAAAAAUGUAAGUAAAACAAAGUAAAGAGUUGUUGAUUCAAUUGGGAAAAUUGGGAUUGGGGGUUCAUCCUUCUCACUCUUUUGUAUUUUGAAAAGCAUAAUAAUAUUCUAUCAUUGAUUGAUAUUGAUGUUCAUAUAAAAUUCAUUUAUAUCUAUUCCUCGCAUAUAAAAUUAUUAAGAUAGUCUCCUAAAUAUCGAUUCCUCGUAUAUUUAUAAAAACUCUUUAUCGUUACGAAUAAAUGUUAGAUAGAAAUUAACAUUCAAAUUUAUUAGCAUUGAAAUAUGUUAAACAUUAUAAUUUAGGUCAGAUGCUUAGAAGUACUUUUCAGUCAAAUCUAAGGAUCAAAAUCAAUGUAAAACAACCGUUUAGAAUCAAAUGACAAUAACAAUCAUCAAUCAAGAAUAGAAUAUGAUAUUUAAAUAUCACCUUAAUACAUAAGAGUUAGAACAUAUUACUCUCAAUCCCAAAGGGUAGAAUUAGCCACUCAUGUUGGCCAUUACACACUUGGAAAGUAAGAAAAGAAGAUUCAAGAUGUGUCUCCUUGACGGUUGCCUCCUCUAAGGUUUUCUAUCACCUUCUAUUCUCCCAAUGAUGUCUAGGGUUAUGCUCACGCCUCAUAUUAAACCUAAUUGGGCUUGGACUAAGUGACCUCUCGCCUAGGCGUGAUUGGGCUUGCCUAGGCGAGUUGGAAGAGAAAAAACACAACUUCUUUGGAGUGAUUUCGCCUAGGCAAAGCGAGUUCCUCUAGAGUGCUUCUGUCUUAGAUGAGUCUUGAGCAUUUUCGUUUUCCCUUUUCAUCUUGUCUAUUCUCCUUUGGCCCUUUCAUCUCCAUUUUUACACCUAGAAUCCUGAAAUGAACACAAAUUUGUGAAUAAAUCGUUCUUAUUCAUAUUAUAAUCCCAAAAUAUGUAAAAAUGUUUAAAUUCAUAAAUUAAUGGUUAAAUUAUAGUUAUUUUAUCAAUAUAUAUCCAUAAGUGUCUGUCUUUAAAUAUGAAAUAUUAGGGUUUAGGAUAAGAAGAACCAAUUCAUGUUAUAAUACAGGGAUGAAAACAAAGAAGGGACACAAACCAAUUCAUGUUAUAGUACAGGAACGAAAACAUAUUUAACCAUUAAAAUUAAUUAUUAUUAAUUAAGAAUCGAUUAUGACUUCUACACAAAGUGCAUGAAAAUCGAUUCAAUUACAAUUGGAAAAUUCUGGCUUCACACUAACUUCCCUGAAAAUUGAUCUUGCAAAUCAACAACUACACACAAUAGAAUCGAUUAUCCCUUCAUUAUAACAGCUAUGCAAAUUGAUUUCUUCCUUCAACAAUAAUAUGAAUCAAUUCUUCCUUCACUAUAAGCUCCAUCAAAAUCGAGUUUCAACAUUUCAAUUACAUUUUCACAUUCCCAUUUUCAAGUACAUGCAAAAUAAACAUAAGACAUUGAAGUAAAUGACAUGUUGUCUAUGUGGAAUCACUCGCAUUUCUCUACACAUAGAGAAGAACAUCAAAUACCAAUCCCUCAUCCUUCCAUCCUCAUUCAUCCCUCAAAACUACUUAUCCAAACAACACAAACACAAAUAUGUGUCAUUCCUUUCUUGAACACAAUAAAUAUAUAUAUAUAUAUAUAUAUAUAUAUAUAUAAAAGCAAACACAACAUAAACAUAAAAGUAUGGAAGGUAAAAUAUUACUGUCGGUCCAUGAACACUUAUAAAAUUAGGCACUAAACAAAAAAUUAUUGUAAUAUUAAAGAAUUUAUCAUUAUCUUAACCGAUGUUUAGUGUAAAAAAUUUACUUAUAAAUAAUAUAAUUAGUGGUGAAGCCAAUACUAACUUUUCAAAUUAUUAUAUUAAUAUAAUAUAAUGUAUGUUGAUUUAACCGGAUAGAUAUUUGAAAUUAUUUAAGAUUUCUUUUAAAUUUUGCAUUGAUAUUUAUUAGGGUUCACUUUAGUCGACAUUAUUUUCGAUUUGAAAAAUAAAUUAUUACAAUAACAAUUACCUGUUGUUUUAGAACUGGUUUAAUAAAUUAAAUUCAGAAAACAAUAGAUAGAAAAUAGAAAAUUAAACUUAAAAAAAUAAUAUAUGAAUAUAAAAUUGAUAAAAUAAUUAAUUAAAAUCCAAACAUAUAAAAAUCAAAUUGAGUCUAAAAUAUGGAAAUUGUUAGAAUUUCGUAAUAUUUUGGAGCAAAUAAUGUAUAGGGAAGCUCCAUGUAAUUAAUAAUAGGAUAGAAAAUGAAAGUCCUAAGUGAGGAGAAUGUUUUUGAAUUUUUGAAGUAUCAACAAUAAUGAUUGUAACAUCCCUAUCAGCUACUGAUAAAAACAAAACCAAUACCAAACACAUUACAAACAAAAGCAAAUCACACGACAAGAACAAAACCAAUAAAACAUAGUUAUAUUUCGUUUGCAAAAUGUCUCUGAUAAAACGCAAAUAAUAUAAGAUGUAAAUGUUCUUUCUUAAAAUUAAUACAACACUGAAAUCUUGUUUUUAUAUCUAAGAUGAAACAAAAAUGAUCAUAUGAUAAAUACGUAGAAAUAAACUAACCUCGUAAUAAGCAUAUCUGUUUUUCAAUAUUGAAGGGAAUCUUUGAUAUGAAAUCCUUUUAUUUAACUUAAAUUUAUACUAUUUAGCCUUAAAUUUUUUCUGUACCCAAUACCUAAUAACACUAUUAUUGAUGUCGUAAUUUGUCUACAUUAUCAUUGCAAUAACAUUUUUUACGAGACAGAUCGAAACGUUUAAAAUAUGAAAGACUAUAAUUUACUUUUUUUUUUAACUUUGAGUGUACAUAAGAUUCCCAAAUUUGAUAAGGCCAAACACCAUAUAAUACAAUUUAGUGCAACUACUUCAUUUAUAGAGCUUAGUUUAGUUAACUUAUAUUAAUAAUAAACUAAUGGCAACUAACUAAUCAAUUACAUAUUGUAGAAGAUUUGUCACAGUUCGGUGGAGCACAUGACAUCAGCAUAUUGAUUAUUUUCAUCAAAAUUCAUAUUUUUUUAAAUUAUUCAUAAUAUAUAUUAUUCUAUUUAGUUUUAGUAAUUAAGAGGCAAUUAUAACUAAUAUACAUUUUAACUUUAAUUUGUAUAAUUAGUCAUCAAUUUAUUAAAUUGUGUUUUAUAUAAUUUAUUAAAUUGGCAGGGCUAUCCAACUGGUAUAAUCUUGCUAGAAAAAAAAAUAUUUUGUUCUGACAAGUAACAUGCUCACACUUAAAUUUUUUUAAAACUUUUUUUGUGAGCAUGGUAUAUUAUACUGUCCAACCGGUGUAUAUGCUGCCUAAAACAAGGAAAAAAAAUUCAAAAAUUUAACUAUGGACAACAUAUAUUACACAGGUUUGAUAGCCCAACCGGUGUAAUAUGUAGUGCCUCAGAGGAAAAAAAAUUAUAAGUUCUAAAAAAGGUAUAUAACACCGGUUGCGCUAUACAACCGUUGUUAUACACCAUUUUUGAGUAAAAAAAGAUAUAUUACACUGGUUAUUAUGAAGAACCGGUGUAAUAUAAUUUUUUACCCUAUUUUCAAGCUCACGCCCGCACUGCUCUUUUGCGCUACUCUAUUCUUUGCCUCCAUUUUUUUGCUUUGUCUUCCACCGUCGCUUCCACCUUCGUUUUCAUUGAACUUCCACCUUCGUGUGUGUCCAUUUUUUUUUCUCCACUGCUACCCCAACUCGGUUUAUCUCCUCUUUGUUGCCACCACUCCUUCAAAAAUUUCCUUCCUUUUCACGGCCCCUACUCCUUCAAUACUUUUUGUGGCCACCACUCUUUCUCUUCGGUGCCACCAUUCUUCCUUUUCGUUGCCACCAAUCCUUUCGCCGCUGCGCCUCCAUAAUUGCACCACACUACACUCGCUUCCACAGCCAUAACUCCUUUGUUCACGUUCCAAGGUGAGUUUUUUAUUUUCAAAUAUUGUAAUUUUAUUUUUAAUUGUAAUAUUAAUUUUUUUUAAUUUUAAUUGUUAAUUUAGUUAUAAUUAUUUAUAUAGAUAAUUAGUUUCAUUGUUGCUGUCACAUUGCUUUCACUACCGCUGCCGCAGCUCAUUGGGUCACGCUCUAGGUUAGUUUUUUAUUUUCAAACAUGUUAAUUUUAAAUUUAAUUAUCAAUUUAGUUCACAAUUAUUUAUAUAGAUGUUUAGUUUUAUUUGAAUUUGAAAUAUACUGUAUUGAACGUAUUGGGUUCGGGGUGAUUGAUCCUCAACAAUUUGUAAUAUGUUUUAUAAUGUAUUAUGUUUGGAAUAUAAUGUUUUAAUUUUCAUAUGUUGAUAUUGGGUUCGGGGGUCAUCGAUCCUCGGCAAUUUGUAUUGUGUUUACAUCAACUAAAAAUUGAUAUUAAUAUAUUAGUUUUUCUAUUACAUAGUCAUGGAUCAAAGUUGGAUAAAUGAGAGUCAUAUGUGUAUGAAAAUGACGUUGAAGAAUUUCUACAAUUUGUUCAACGGAAUGUAGAAGUUGUAAAUGGAAGAUACUUUUGUCCAUGUGUUAAUUGUUUGAAUAGGAAGCAAUUAGAAAUUAGGUUGAUAAGAGAACAUGUUCUCUAUGAUGGUUUCUUGAAGAAUUAUAUAAAGUGGAUAUGGUAUGGGUAUCAGAUGGUCAAUAUUUUAAUAUACAUUCUAAAGAUCACAUGGAAGACAUUAUUCGUGAUAGUGGACAAGAUAGUUUCCAGCAAGCAUACAUGUGUGAUUAAUUGAAAUAUGAUUAUGAAACACCUCUUUAUCUCGGUUGUUCAAGUUUCACACGUUUGUCAGCAAUAUUAAAAUUAGUUAAUAUUAAGACAAGAAAUUGGUUGUUGAUAAAAGUUUCAAUGAGUUGCUCGAGUUGUUGUAGGAAAUUCUUCUUAAAGAUAAUACAUUGCCCACCCUUCAUUAUGAGGCGAAGAAGAUAUUGUGUUUGAUGGGUAUGGAGUACGAGAAAAUACAUGCAUGUCCCAAUGAUUGCAUAUUGUAUAUAAAAGAGUUUGAAUCAUUGCACAAGUGUCAAAGAUGCGGGGUAUCACGAUACAAAAUGAAGGAUGAUGAGAGUGAGGAAGAUUAUGUGAAAAAGGGUCUUCCUGCAAAAACAUUAUGUUAUCGUCCAAUUAUUCUGUAAUUUAAAUGUUUAUUUUUCAAUGUUAAUGAUGCAAAAACCUCAGGUAGCAUGCAAAUGGAAAAAAAUCCGAUGGAUUGUUACGACAUGCCACCGAUUCACCGCAAUGGAAGAAAAUUGAUUCUUUGUUUCCUGAGUUUGGGAGUGAUCCAAGGAAUAUUAGACUUGGUUUUCCAACAGAUUGUAUGAAGCAAACAUAGUUGGUAGCCUAUUUUAGUUAUUAUUUAUAAUUUGUUGUAUUCGUUGUGUAUGAAGAGAAAAUAUAUGAUGUUGUCUAUGAUGAUAUCAAGACCAAGACAACAACCUAGAAAUGAAAUAGAUGUUUACUUAAGUCCAUUGAUCGAAGACUUGAAUUUUUUAUGGGAUCAAGGAGUUGAAGUAUUUGAUGCAUAUGAGAAUUUGAGUGGUUAUAGUGUUAAAAGACAUAGUGAUUUCCCGAUAUGUGAAGAGAACACAAGUUACCAUCAACUGAAACAUGGGAGGAAAACUUCUUACAUUAGGCAUAAAAGGUUUCUGAAACGUAAUCACCCUUAACGUAGGUUAAAGAAAGUUUUUAAUGGAUCUCAGGAGGAAAAAAUUGCACCUCCACCCUUAACUGCGAGAAAGUGUACAACUGGAUCUGCAAUGCGAAUGUGACUUUUGGAAAAAUACAAAAGAAAAACAUUGUGAAAAACAUAUAGAAGAAGAAAUCCAUAUUAUUUGAACUUCCAUAUUGGACGAAGUUAGAUGUUAGACAUUGCAUAAAUGUAUUGCAUGUGGAAAAAAAUGUUUGUGAUAGUAUAAUUGGCACGUUAUUGAAUAUUAAAGGAAAGACAAAAGAUGGCAUAAAUGCUCGUAAAGAUCUAGUUGAGAUGGGUGUUCGCUUGGGGUUGCAACCACAACCUCAUGGUAAACAAAUAUAUUUGGCUCCAGCAUGUCAUACUUUGUCAAAAUUUGAAAAAUUAAUUUUUUGCAGGUGUCUACGGGGAGUUAAAGUACCACAAUGAUACUCUUCAAAUACUAAAACUCUUGUAUCAAUGCAAGAUUUGAAACUUAUGGGCUUAAAAUCUCAUAAUUUUCAUGUUCUCAUGCAAAACCUUCUCCUAGUUGCUAUUCGUGGAUUUUACCAAAAAAUGUUAGACAAGUGAUCACUCGCCUAUGCAUAUUUUUUAAUCUUAUCUGUAGAAAACUUAUUGAUCCUAAUAACUUGUAUGCAUUAGAAAAUGAAGCUAUCAUUAUCUUGUGUCAACUAGAGAUGUAUUUUCCUCUUUCUUUUUUUGACAUCAUGGUUCAUCUAAUUGUUCAUUUAGUGAGGGAAAUUAGAAUAUGUUGUCCUAUUUUUUUACACUAGAUGUACCCAAUUGAGCGACACAUGAAAAUAUUCAAAGGGUAUGUGAAGAAUUUGUAUCGUCCAGAAGCAUCUAUUGUUGAGAGAUACAUUGUUGAGGAAACAAUUGAGUUUUGUACAACGUAUAUGUCAGAAGAAGAAGCCAUAGGAGUUCCAAAGUCGAUGCAUGAAGCAAUGUGUGAAGGUAAAGGCACACGAGGUGAUGGAGAUCAAGCCCAAGAGAACAUGGAGGCCACUCAUCAAGCUCAAGAAGAGGUGGAGGCACAAAUGGAGGAUGCCCAUGGAGGUCAAAGUCCACCUCAAAGGAUUACAAGAAGCAUGUUCAAAGCCUUGGGAGCAAGAGGACAUUUAUUUUCUCUUUUUGUAGUGUCUUUAGUUGAAGGUGCUUAGAGGGAAACCUUAGAAACCUCUUUUGUUAUAGCAUCUUUUAGGUUUUAAAUAGGACCUUUAGGGGGGUGUAUUAGUAGAUAGGUGUAGGUGUAGUUUUUGGGAGGUGUCAUAGUAGAAAAAAGGUCACACCUCCCAUGUGACUUGUUUUUGGUGGGAAUUUCAAAUGAGUUUAUUUGAAAUUUCCCACCUAUUUUUCAGCACCUUAGGCUAUAAAUAGAGGUGCUUCCUUUGUAAAAUUCAGAUUUGAAUUUUAUCUAAAGAAACUAUACUCAAAAUUGGAGUGAGCAUUUGGAGAGCUUUGAGCUUCUUCUCUAGUCUUAUCUUGAAGGACCAUGGUUUCCUCAAGUGGCGGCUUCCACACUCAUCUAGGAGCAUCCAUUCUUCUAGUGGCGUGAUCAUCCAACCAUUCCUCCAUCUUCAUGAGCAUUCUCUUCUCCUUCCUUUCUUCUUCUUCAAUUUGUUCAUGUUAUCUUGUGUUUUGAGUUGUCUAGCUUUCGGUUUUUCUAUUUUCAGCACCUAUAUUCUGUUUUGUUUUUAAAUUCUGUUCGGCUCUUUUGUUUUAAGUUCAAUUCUGUUCGGUUUCUUCUUUUCCUUCUCCUUUGUUGAUUCAAUUUGACAAUAUUUGGUUCAUCCAAAUGAGUUUGAGAAUUGGUACUUGUUUUGGUGAGUUCUUGAUUUUAGAACCAUGAUCCAACUUCUAAGAAAGUGCCUCUAUAUUUUCCAGCUCAAGGUGAUUCCUCAAAGUGUCAAGAAUCUUGUUCUAAGUGGCUAUUGGAAUCACAUCAUGUGGUAUCAUGAGUCUUAGGUUCAUUCUUGUUUAAUUGUUGAGGACAUUUGUAUAUUUUGAAUAACACCAAUGAUGUUCUUCCUUAUAUAGAUGCACAUAAGAUGUUGUUAAAGUCAAUGAACCCUCGUGGAAAUGAGAAAUGGUUGUUGACUGAGCACAAUAAGACUUUCUUGAAAUGGUUUAAAGAUAAAAUUGGUCAAGAAGAUUUUGAUAUUGAGGAAUAUAAAUGGUUAGCACGAGGACCUAACUUUGAUGUGAUAACGUGGACUGAGUAUGAUAUUAAUAUGAUGUCUUUUUAUAAAAAAAGCUGAAGAUGAGAAAAGUACUAUGCAGAUUGCGGUGUUACCCUUGAGGCAGAGUCUAUGCACUUUGCUAGCUCAAAAGACAAUAAUCCUAUGGUGGCUACUCUAAAUUACUUUGGAGUAAUUGAAGAAAUCUAGGAGGUUGACUACAUCAAAUUCAUAGUGCAUGUAUUUAAGUGUAAAUGGGUUGAUUGUAACAUAGGAGUGCAUGUAGAUAACUUGGGUUUUACUUGUAGAACAUGGAAGCUUUUGAUGAUCCAAAUCUGUGUUGAAGGGUUGAUGUUUUGUUGUUUUGGUUGGGGCUUAGUUCUAGGGUAUUUAAAAUUCUUGUAAAGAUCAUUCUUAGUCCUGUGCACAAGCUAGAUCAAUCUGUUUUAAAAGAUAAAAAAAAUUCAAAGCAAAGAGAAAAACAACCUGUUGAAAUCACGAUAUAAUUGGUUGUUUUACACUUAGCUUAUUUGAAGGUUUUCAAAACUGUUUUUGACUUGGUUGACUAACUGUCAUAACUAAUUCAACCGGUUAAAACGACAUUUCAACAGCUUUUCAAAAAGCUUAUUAAAUCUGUUUUCAGUUGAAUUAAAAUUGAUUUGGCUCGUGAUUAACUACCUAGAACGGCUAGUUUUAAGAGCUAUAAAUAUGAUUUCUCUUUGUAUUCAAAUAUAUACAGAAAGUGAGAUUGAAAUUGUUUUUGAGAAGAGAUUUGAUACAAAGUUUUACAAGAUUGCUAAGUAGUUGUGCAUUGGUUCAAGAUCUGAUCUUAGGAGCUAUGUGAUUCCUGAAUUGCCAAUUGUAAUUUGUUCCUUUUUUAAUCUUGUAAUAGUUCUUUUCUAUACUUGUAAAAGGUGUGUAAACCUGUAUUGUCAGAGGGUGUUCUGACUAAGGUUGUGUGAAAGGCAAGGAGAGUGAGUGUUCUUGUGGUAUCAAGAUCACCUCUUUGUGGUGUUGUAUUGUGUAAUUUGUGAUUGAUUGCUACUGGAAAACCCAAUGGUUGUCUUGGGGACUGGAUGUAGCUCAGGGUUGAGUGAACCAGUAUAAAUUGGUUGUGUAAUCUCUCUUUCUCUCUCUCUCUCUCACUCAUUAUAAAUUGUUUUAUUUGAAUUUGUAUUGUUGCUGCUAUAAACAACCGGUUAAAAUGAAGUUUCAACUAAUUGAUUUUCUGCAAAUAGUUUUAAUUACUUUGAUUGUUUGGCUUCCUUGAUUGUUUCUUCUGUGGUUGUUGAUAAAAUUUCAUUUCUAUCCAAUCUUUGUGAAAAUAUUUUGUCAAACAAUUCACCUUCAUCUUGUUUAGGUCAUUAAUUCUAACAUUACUUUGGUUGAUCUUACAAAGAUAGUGUGGAAGGAAGAUCCUUUCACUAUGUCUUACCAAGCAAAACAAGUUUUUUAUGUGAAAGAUCCUUCUAAUAAAAGGUUGUCAAAUUUCGUACAGGAGAGAACUGAACAUGGUAUUCAUCUACAAGAUAACUCAAGGGUCCAAUUUGUAGAAAAUUCUUCAUUCUCAAUAUAAUUACCUCCUUUGAAUGAUGAAAAUGAUGUAGAUGAAGUACAUGCUACACGCCAUGAUCACAAUGAAGGAAUAUGGGAGAACAUUUUAACACUUCCACAAUAGAAAUCAAGUAUUUUUUUAUUAGCUUUUCUAUUUAAAAAUCUGUUUUAUUUAAUUUAAAUACAUAUCUUAAACAUGGUUUUAUUCUUUGUAGAUCGAUCACAUGGUUGAAUCAUCAAGAAGACUAGGGACCUUACACGACUGAGAAACCUUCUGAUUAGGCGUAUGGGUAAUAAUAGGGUACCAGUUCAAAUAGACCCUCAGACUGGCAGGGUAUCAGGCCCUAAUCAGACUCAAUUUGUAAGUUAUUUGUGAGUCUUAGCUCGAUCUAUGGUCUCUAUCUUGAUCCCUGACUAGGACCACAUAUUAAAAAUAGACAAGAAUCUCAUUAGGGAGGAUAUUUGUGUAAGUUAUUUAUUUAAAUGUUAUUAAAUAAUUUGUCUAUUGAAUUUAUAUUUUAAUAAUUUAAUUAUUAUAAUUUGUAAACAAAUUUUGAGUUUGAGAUUUUGAAUUUGUUUCAAAGCAAAAUAUUAUCUUCAAUAAUUACAAAAGAGGCAAUUCAAGAUAAAUCUGACAACCCAUUACCUUUUUUUUAAAAUAUAAGGGCAAGUGUCUCGUGAAAAAUAUUCUAUAAGACAAUUUUAAUAAAAAAUUUAAAAUUUAUAACAUUAUUACUUAAAAUUAACCAUUUGAGUUUAUACGAAUGACCGGAUAGGAAGUAUAAUAAAAAAGAUAAAAAUAGUAAUGAUUUAUAUAGUUAUUUCAUUUACAGGUUCAAAUCUAAAGUAUAAAUAGUUAUUUCAUUCAGUGGCAUAAUUUGUAUGUUUUGUUCCUUACACUUAGAAAAUAUUCUUUCUAAUCCUUAUAUUUGCAAUUUUAACUCGUGUUAGUUUCAACAAAUACAUUUCUAAUUCGUUUGAAUCCAUACCAUAUCAGAGAACAGAUACUAAAACAGAUUUAAACGUCUAUAAGCAGAUUAGUAUGAGUAAUUUUAAAUAUAGGGACUAAAUGAAAAACUGUUUGUGCAUGCAUAAUUAAAUAAAAAUAAUUUUAAAAAUAAAACUGUAUAUGACACAAAUUUCUGCAGCCCACGUUGGUUCGAUAUUAUUUUACUGGAAAUUUCGUUUUUUUUAUGCGUGUUUUUGUUAUGAUACAUUUCUCCAUGCUAAUCAUUUGUGAAAUUCUAUAAAUUCUGAACCCUGGUUAUGGAGGAUGCAUACACACCUUAGCAUACUAAAUCCAAGUGACUCUAGAAGACAUGGCUCUUCAAGUUGAACCAUCAUCCUCACUUUUAAAGCAAUUACCAACCCCUUCCAUAGCCAUUUUGAUCUUCUUCUUAAGCCUCCUUUUUGUGCUUAGUUACAAAAGAAGAAAGAACAAGUUGAAUUUGCCUCCUUCCCCACCAAAACUACCCAUAAUUGGAAACCUUCAUCAACUAGGCACUCUCCCACACCGCUCCUUCCAAGCACUCUCUCGCAAGUACGGCCCUCUGUUCUUGCUGCAAUUAGGCCAAACUCCAACUCUUCUGGUUUCAUCAGUUGAUUUGGCCAAAGAAGUAUUCAAAACCCACGAUGUCGCUUUCUCCGAUAAGUCUCAGACCACAGCCAUGAAAAUCAUCAUGUAUGGAUGCACGGACGUGGCUUUUACACACUACGGAGAAGAGUGGAGACAAAAGAGGAAGAUAUGUGUUCUUGAUCUUCUAAGCGUAAAAAGGGUGCGAUCCUUUCAGUCCAUUCGAGAAGAAGAAGUUUCAGGGAUGCUUGGUGCCAUACGUGAAGCAUGCAGCGAAAGUAAAGGGUCUUCUUGCGUCAACCUGAGUCAGAUUCUGAUUGAAACCUCGAACAACAUAGUAUCUAGAUGUGUUCUUGGAAAAAGGUAUGACAACCCAGAUGGUGGAAUCAGCUUUGGAGAGCUAGGAAGGAAGAUGAUGAAACACUUAGCCACUUUCACUGUGGGAGAUUUCUUUCCUUUGUUAGGUUGGAUUGACGUUCUUACUGGCCAAAUACCAGAAUUUAAGGCCACUUUCAGGGCAUUAGAUUCUUUCUUUGAUCAGUUAAUUGCUGAACGCACGAGAAUAGUGAAGAGGGACGGUUACCAACCUCAUAAUAAAGACUUCCUGGAGACACUCCUUCAAAUUCAAGAUGGUGCAGGAAAGCAAUAUUUUCAGCUUACACAUGAUGACGUCAAGGCAAUUCUGAUGGUACAUAUGCUUAUUUUCUGCUCUGACAUGCUAAGAAAAGGUAGCAUAGAGCAUCUUCAAAUGAUGCAAUCACGUCACCUAAGAUUAAAAUAUUUCAAAAUUUUCUCUUUUUAAUGAUACAACCUUAAUGGAUAUUCCCACCCACCAUCAAUUCUUAUAAAUAAUUGCUCUAACAGUAAAAUAUAAUAUGCUUAAAAUUUAUGUUUAAGAAUCCAUAAACACCUCUACUUAAGGGAAAUUUCCAUUUUGAUAAUUUCAGAAUAUAUUUGCUGGAGGAAGUGACACUACUUCAACACUUCUGGAAUGGGCAUUUGCGGCGCUCUUGAAUAGUCCUGAUGCCAUGAAGAGAGUUCAAGAAGAAGUAAGAAGGGUUGUUGGGUAUAAAUUAAAAGUGGAUGAAAAUGAUUUAAAUCAAAUGAAUUAUCUGAAAUGUGUAGUGAAAGAAACUCUGAGACUAUAUCCACCUGCUCCUCUUUUGACACCCCGAGAAACUUCAUCUGAUGUAAAAGUGAAAGGCUUUGAUAUUCCAUCCAAAACAAGAGUGUAUGUGAAUGCAUGGGCGAUUCAGAGGGACCCUGAAAUUUGGACCAGGGCCGAAGAGUUCCUUC
rnacentral:lncRNA from 1 species